AGCUUUGCACAGUGGCAGUAUUGUAGCCAGUGAGGUUUAUCUGAGGUGCAAUUAUUGGCUAAUUAAACUAUCUCACUGACCAAGGCUACCUAUAACUCAUAUAAACAAAGUGUUUUUCCUUUAUCUUGGUUGAACCUAGGGCUUAAGAACUCCUUGAUGUUCCAUGACUUGGAUACAUCAAGGCAAUCUACCGAUGGUAAACUUUUAU
ensembl:snRNA U4 U4 spliceosomal RNA